rnacentral:rRNA from 1 species
UACGUAGGGUGCGAGCGUUGCCCGGAAUUAUUGGGCGUAAAGGGCUCGUAGGCGGUCUGUCGCGUCGGGAGUGAAAACUCAGGGCUUAACCCUGAGCCUGCUUCCGAUACGGGCAGACUAGAGGUAUGCAGGGGAGAACGGAAUUCCUGGUGUAGCGGUGGAAUGCGCAGAUAUCAGGAGGAACACCGGUGGCGAAGGCGGUUCUCUGGGCCUUACCUGACGCUGAGGAGCGAAAGCAUGGGGAGCAAACAGG